CGAGCGGCGGACGGGUGAGUAAUGCCUGGGAAUAUGCCUUGAUGUGGGGGAUAACCAUUGGAAACGAUGGCUAAUACCGCAUAAUGCCUACGGGCCAAAGAGGGGGAUCUUCGGACCUCUCGCGUCAAGAUUAGCCCAGGUGGGAUUAGCUAGUUGGUGAGGUAAUGGCUCACCAAGGCGACGAUCCCUAGCUGGUCUGAGAGGAUGAUCAGCCACACUGGAACUGAGACACGGUCCAGACUCCUACGGGAGGCAGCAGUGGGGAAUAUUGCACAAUGGGCGCAAGCCUGAUGCAGCCAUGCCGCGUGUGUGAAGAAGGCCUUCGGGUUGUAAAGCACUUUCAGUCGUGAGGAAGGUAGUUGCGUUAAUAGCGUAAUUAUUUGACGUUAGCGACAGAAGAAGCACCGGCUAACUCCGUGCCAGCAGCCGCGGUAAUACGGAGGGUGCGAGCGUUAAUCGGAAUUACUGGGCGUAAAGCGCAUGCAGGUGGUUUGUUAAGUCAGAUGUGAAAGCCCGGGGCUCAACCUCGGAAUUGCAUUUGAAACUGGCAGACUAGAGUACUGUAGAGGGGGGUAGAAUUUCAGGUGUAGCGGUGAAAUGCGUAGAGAUCUGAAGGAAUACCGGUGGCGAAGGCGGCCCCCUGGACAGAUACUGACACUCAGAUGCGAAAGCGUGGGGAGCAAACAGGAUUAGAUACCCUGGUAGUCCACGCCGUAAACGAUGUCUACUUGGAGGUUGUGGCCUUGAGCCGUGGCUUUCGGAGCUAACGCGUUAAGUAGACCGCCUGGGGAGUACGGUCGCAAGAUUAAAACUCAAAUGAAUUGACGGGGGCCCGCACAAGCGGUGGAGCAUGUGGUUUAAUUCGAUGCAACGCGAAGAACCUUACCUACUCUUGACAUCCAGAGAAGCCAGCGGAGACGCAGGUGUGCCUUCGGGAACUCUGAGACAGGUGCUGCAUGGCUGUCGUCAGCUCGUGUUGUGAAAUGUUGGGUUAAGUCCCGCAACGAGCGCAACCCUUAUCCUUGUUUGCCAGCGAGUAAUGUCGGGAACUCCAGGGAGACUGCCGGUGAUAAACCGGAGGAAGGUGGGGACGACGUCAAGUCAUCAUGGCCCUUACGAGUAGGGCUACACACGUGCUACAAUGGCGCAUACAGAGGGCUGCCAACCAGCGAUGGUGAGCGAAUCCCAAAAAGUGCGUCGUAGUCCGGAUUGGAGUCUGCAACUCGACUCCAUGAAGUCGGAAUCGCUAGUAAUCGUGGAUCAGAAUGCCACGGUGAAUACGUUCCCGGGCCUUGUACACACCGCCCGUCACACCAUGGGAGUGGGCUGCAAAAGAAGUGGGUAGUUUAACCUUUCGGGGAGGACGCUCA
rnacentral:rRNA from 1 species